UACAGAGGGGGCAAGCGUUGUUCGGAAUUACUGGGCGUAAAGGGCGCGUAGGUGGCCUUCUAAGUUGAACGUGAAAUCCCUGGGCUCAACCCAGGAACUGCGUCCAAGACUGGGAGGCUUGAAUCCGGGAGAGGGAUGCGGAAUUCCAGGUGUAGCGGUGAAAUGCGUAGAUAUCUGGAGGAACACCGGUGGCGAAGGCGGCAUCCUGGACCGGUAUUGACACUGAGGCGCGAAAGCCAGGAGAGCAAACGGG
rnacentral:rRNA from 1 species